rnacentral:rRNA from 1 species
AUUGAACGCUGGCGGCAGGCCUAACACAUGCAAGUCGAGCGAGCGGCGGACGGGUGAGUCAUGCCUGGAAAUUGCCCAGUCGAGGGGACUAACAGUUGGAAACGACUGCUAAUACCCCAUACUACUUGAUUGCCUAGGUGGGAUUAGCUAGUGGGUGAGGUAAUGGCUCACCAAGGCGACGAUCCCUACCUGGUCUGGGAGUAGUAUCAGCCAGACUGGAACGGAGAAACGGUCCGAAGUCCAACGGGAGGCACAAGUGGGGAAUAUUGCAAAAGGGGGGAAACCCGGAUGCAGACAUGCGGCGUGUGUAAAGAAGGCCUUCGGGUUGAAAAGCACGUUAAGCGAGGAGGCGUUACUCGAAGAAGAAGCACCGGCUAACUCCGUGCCAGCAGCCGCGGUAAUUC